rnacentral:rRNA from 1 species
UACGUAGGGGGCGAGCGUUAUCCGGAAUCAUUGGGCGUAAAGCGCGUGUAGGCGGUUCCGUAAGUCCGCUCUGAAAGCCCAGGGCUCAACCCUGGGAGGCGGGUGGAUACUACGGAACUGGAGUACGGAAGAGGAGAGCGGAAUUCCUGGUGAGCGGUGAAAUGCGCAGAUAUCAGGAAGAACACCCGUGGCUAAGGCGGCUCUCUAGUACGGUACUGACGCUGAGACGCGAAAGCGUGGGAGCGAACAGG